GAUAUUGGGCGUAAGGGCUCGCAGGCGGUUUCUUAAGUCUGAUGUGAAAGCCCCCGGCUCAACCGGGGAGGGUCAUUGGAAACUGGGGAACUUGAGUGCAGAAGAGGAGAGUGGAAUUCCACGUGUAGCGGUGAAAUGCGUAGAGAUGUGGAGGAACACCAGUGGCGAAGGCGACUCUCUGGUCUGUAACUGACGCUGAGGAGCGAAAGCGUGGGGAGCGAACAGGAUUAGAUACCCUGGUAGUCCACGCCGUAAACGAUGAGUGCUAAGUGUUAGGGGGUUUCCGCCCCUUAGUGCUGCAGCUAACGCAUUAAGCACUCCGCCUGGGGAGUACGGUCGCAAGACUGAAACUCAAAGGAAUUGACGGGGGCCCGCACAAGCGGUGGAGCAUGUGGUUUAAUUCGAAGCAACGCGAAGAACCUUACCAGGUCUUGACAUCCUCUGACAAUCCUAGAGAUAGGACGUCCCCUUCGGGGGCAGAGUGACAGGUGGUGCAUGGUUGUCGUCAGCUCGUGUCGUGAGAUGUUGGGUUAAGUCCCGCAACGAGCGCAACCCUUGAUCUUAGUUGCCAGCAUUCAGUUGGGCACUCUAAGGUGACUGCCGGUGACAAACCGGAGGAAGGUGGGGAUGACGUCAAAUCAUCAUGCCCCUUAUGACCUGGGCUACACACGUGCUACAAUGGA
rnacentral:rRNA from 1 species